CACAGGUGGUCGGGUAGAGAAUACCAAGGCGCUUGAGAGAACUCGGGUGAAGGAACUAGGCAAAAUGGUACCGUAACUUCGGGAGAAGGUACGCUCUUGAUGGUGAAGUCCCUCGCGGAUGGAGCUGACGAGAGUCGCAGAUACCAGGUGGCUGCAACUGUUUAUUAAAAACACAGCACUGUGCAAAAUCGCAAGAUGACGUAUACGGUGUGACGCCUGCCCGGUGCCGGAAGGUUAAUUGAUGGGGUUAGCGCAAGCGAAGCUCUUGAUCGAAGCCCCGGUAAACGGCGGCCGUAACUAUAACGGUCCUAAGGUAGCGAAAUUCCUUGUCGGGUAAGUUCCGACCUGCACGAAUGGCGUAAUGAUGGCCACGCUGUCUCCACCCGAGACUCAGUGAAAUUGAAAUCGCUGUGAAGAUGCAGUGUACCCGCGGCUAGACGGAAAGACCCCGUGAACCUUUACUACAGCUUGGCACUGAACAUUGAACCUACAUGUGUAGGAUAGGUGGGAGGCUAUGAAGACGUGACGCCAGUUGCGUUGGAGCCGUCCUUGAAAUACCACCCUUGUAUGUUUGAUGUUCUAACUUAGACCCAUUAUCUGGGUUGAGGACAGUGCCUGGUGGGUAGUUUGACUGGGGCGGUCUCCUCCCAAAGAGUAACGGAGGAGCACGAAGGUGGGCUAAUCACGGUUGGACAUCGUGAGGUUAGUGCAAUGGCAUAAGCCCGCUUAACUGCGAGAAUGACGGUUCGAGCAGGUGCGAAAGCAGGUCAUAGUGAUCCGGUGGUUCUGUAUGGAAGGGCCAUCGCUCAACGGAUAAAAGGUACUCCGGGGAUAACAGGCUGAUACCGCCCAAGAGUUCAUAUCGACGGCGGUGUUUGGCACCUCGAUGUCGGCUCAUCACAUCCUGGGGCUGAAGUCGGUCCCAAGGGUAUGGCUGUUCGCCAUUUAAAGUGGUACGCGAGCUGGGUUUAGAACGUCGUGAGACAGUUCGGUCCCUAUCUGCCGUGGGCGUUGGAAGAUUGAAGGGGGCUGCUCCUAGUACGAGAGGACCGGAGUGGACGAACCUCUGGUGUUCGGGUUGUGUCGCCAGACGCAUUGCCCGGUAGCUAAGUUCGGAAUUGAUAAGCGCUGAAAGCAUCUAAGCGCGAAGCGAGCCCUGAGAUGAGUCUUCCCUGACAGUUUAACUGUCCUAAAGGGUUGUUCGAGACUAGAACGUUGAUAGGCAGGGUGUGUAAGCGUUGUGAGGCGUUGAGCUAACCUGUACUAAUUGCCCGUGAGGCUUAACCAU
rnacentral:rRNA from 1 species